UAGGGAAUCUUCCACAAUGGACGCAAGUCUGAUGGAGCAACGCCGCGUGAGUGAAGAAGGUUUUCGGAUCGUAAAGCUCUGUUGUUGGUGAAGAAGGAUAGAGGCAGUAACUGGUCUUUAUUUGACGGUAAUCAACCAGAAAGUCACGGCUAACUACGUGCCAGCAGCCGCGGUAAUACGUAGGUGGCAAGCGUUGUCCGGAUUUAUUGGGCGUAAAGCGAGCGCAGGCGGAAUGAUAAGUCUGAUGUGAAAGCCCACGGCUCAACCGUGGAACUGCAUCGGAAACUGUCAUUCUUGAGUGCAGAAGAGGAGAGUNACUGACC
rnacentral:rRNA from 1 species